rnacentral:rRNA from 1 species
UACGAAGGGGGCUAGCGUUGUUCGGAAUUACUGGGCGUAAAGGGCGCGCAGGCGGUCGCUCAAGUCAGGCGUGAAAGCCCCGGGCUCAACCUGGGAAUAGCGCUUGAGACUGAGCGACUUGAGUUCGGGAGAGGAGAGCGGAAUUCCCAGUGUAGAGGUGAAAUUCGUAGAUAUUGGGAAGAACACCGGUGGCGAAGGCGGCUCUCUGGACCGACACUGACGCUGAGGCGCGAAAGCUAGGGGAGCGAACAGG